rnacentral:rRNA from 1 species
ACACAAGGCGGCGGAGCAUGCGGAUUAAUUCGAUGCAACGCGAAGAACCUUACCAAGGCUUGACAUACACCGGUACGCCCAGAGAUGGGUGCCCCUUUGUGGUCGGUGUACAGGUGGUGCAUGGUUGUCGUCAGCUCGUGUCGUGAGAUGUUGGGUUAAGUCCUGCAACGAGCGCAACCCUCGUCCUAUGUUGCCAGCGGGUCAUGCCGGGGACUCAUGGGAGACUGCCGGGUCAACUCGGAGGAAGUGGGGAUGACGUCAAAUCAUCAUGCCCCUUAUGUCUUGGGCUUCACGCAUGCUACAAUGGCCGGUACAAAGGGCUGCCACCCGGCAACGGGGAGCUAAUCGCAAAAGGUGGGCCCAGUUCGGAUUGGGGUCUGCAACCCGACCCCAUGAAGCCGGAGUCGCUAGUAAUCGCAGAUCAGCAACGCUGCGGUGAAUACGUUCCCGGGCCUU